AGCCCUAGAUAAUAUUUAAGGUGUAACCUGCCCAAUGAUUUUUAAAUUAAAAUUUAUAAAAAUAAUUUAAUAAAAUUUAAAGGACGCAGUAACCUUGACUGUGAUAAUGUAGCAUAAUCACUCGCCAUUUAAUUGAUGGAUAGUAUGAAUGGUUGAACGAAUAUUCCACUGUCUUAAAGAGAAAUACCAAAAAAUUGAAAUAAUAGUUAAGAUGCUAUUUAAAAUUGUAAGACGAAAAGACCCUAUAGAGCUUAACUAUAACCUCUUUUAAACAUUAGAAAAGAAAUUCAAAAAAAAAAGAGGCUGGUAGUUUAGUUGGGGCGACUAUCUUCUAAAUAUAACGAAGAGAAGCAAAGUUAAUAAAAAACUUAUUGUAUAAUAAAUUAAUUUAACAAUUACAAAAGUAGGCUAUAAUGACCCGUUAUAUAUUAAUAAAAAUCAUAACGAUCAAUAAAUAAAAGCUACCUUAGGGAUAACAGGAUAAUUUCAUUCUAGAGAUCAUAUCGAAAAUGAAGUUUGUCACCUCUAUGUUGAAUUAAGAUAUCCCGACAAUGCAGAAGUUGUCAAAGGUGGGUCUGUUCAACCUUUAAAAUCUUA
rnacentral:rRNA from 1 species